GCUGUAGCUCAGUGGCAGAGCUGCUGCUUUACGUGCAGAAGGCCCCAGGUUUUAUCCCCCAGCAUCUCCA